UACGUAGGGGGCAAGCGUUGUCCGGAAUCAUUGGGCGUAAAGCGCGCGUAGGCGGCCCGGUAAGUCCGUUGUGAAAGUCAAAGGCUCAACCUUUGAACGCCGAUGGAUACUGCCGGGCUAGAGUCCGGAAGAGGCGAGUGGAAUUCCCGGUGUAGCGGUGAAAUGCGCAGAUAUCGGGAAGAACACCCGUGGCUAAGGCGGUUCUCUAGUACGGUACUGACGCUGAGACGCGAAAGCGUGGGGAGCGAACAGG
rnacentral:rRNA from 1 species